GUGUGUGUGUAUGUGUGCUUGUCAGUGAGAGUGUAUGUGUGCUUGUCAGUGAGUGUGUAUAUGUGUUUGUAUGUGUGUCUGUCAAAGAGACGAGUAUGUGUGUCUGAGUGUGUGUCAGCGUGUGUAUCUGUAUGUCAAGGUUUGUGUAUGUGUCACUGUGUUUAUCCGAGUGUUUGUAUUGGUGUGUAUCUCUGUGUCAAGGUCUGUGCAUGUGUCAAGGUGUGUAUCUUUGUGUCUGUGUGUAUAUGUCAGUAUGUAUAUGCAUGUGUGUGUAUGUGUCAAUGUUUUUAUGUGUCUGUGUGUUAAUUUGUUUGUGUAUGUAUGUACGUACGUACGUACGUACGUGGCAUACGUACUGCAAUCAUAUGUGCAUACAUCCCAGCAAUUAAACACCAUCCCAGCAAUCAAACAUGUAUAUCUGCAUCCAUCCCUGCAUACACUCCUGCAAACACAAACAUUACAUACAAACACACCCCUGCAGGCAAAUGUAAACAUUACAUACAAAGACACCCC